CAAGUACUCCUUCCGUUUCACAAUACAUGCCUUCCAUUUGUCAAAAUAUAGAUGUAUCUAGACAUGUUUUAGUAUAUAGGUACAUCUAUUAUUGGACAAACAGAAGUCAAGUAUUUUGAAACGGAUGAAGUACAUC
rfam:Triticum aestivum genome assembly, contig: Triticum_aestivum_CS42_TGACv1_scaffold_377785_5AL